GUACGAUUAGCUAGUUGGUGAGGUAAUGGCUCACCAAGGCGACGAUCGUUAGCUGGUCUGAGAGGACGAUCAGCCACACUGGGACUGAGACACGGCCCAGACUCCUACGGGAGGCAGCAGUGGGGAAUAUUGGACAAUGGGGGCAACCCUGAUCCAGCCAUGCCGCGUGAGUGAUGAAGGCCUUCGGGUUGUAAAGCUCUUUUGGCGGGGACGAUGAUGACGGUACCCGCAGAAUAAGCCCCGGCUAACUUCGUGCCAGCAGCCGCGGUAAGACGAAGGGGGCUAGCGUUGUUCGGAAUUACUGGGCGUAAAGCGAGUGUAGGUGGUUUUCCAAGUUGGAUGUGAAAGCCUUGAGCUCAACUCAAGAAAUGCAUUCAGGACUGGGAGACUAGAGGACCGGAGAGGAUAGUGGAAUUCCCAGUGUAGUGGUGAAAUACGUAGAGAUUGGGAAGAACACCAGUGGCGAAGGCGGCUAUCUGG
rnacentral:rRNA from 1 species